UGUUUGGAGAGUUUGAUCCUGGCUCAGGACGAACGCUGGCGGCGUGCUUAACACAUGCAAGUCGAACGGAAAGGUCUCUUCGGAGACACUCGAGUGGCGAACGGGUGAGUAACACGUGGGCAAUCUGCCCUGCACACCGGGAUAAGCCUGGGAAACUGGGUCUAAUACCGGAUAGGACCACUUGGCGCAUGCCUUGUGGUGGAAAGCUUUUGCGGUGUGGGAUGGGCCCGCGGCCUAUCAGCUUGUUGGUGGGGUGACGGCCUACCAAGGCGACGACGGGUAGCCGGCCUGAGAGGGUGUCCGGCCACACUGGGACUGAGAUACGGCCCAGACUCCUACGGGAGGCAGCAGUGGGGAAUAUUGCACAAUGGGCGCAAGCCUGAUGCAGCGACGCCGCGUGGGGGAUGACGGCCUUCGGGUUGUAAACCUCUUUCACCAUCGACGAAGGUCCGGGUUCUCUCGGAUUGACGGUAGGUGGAGAAGAAGCACCGGCCAACUACGUGCCAGCAGCCGCGGUAAUACGUAGGGUGCGAGCGUUGUCCGGAAUUACUGGGCGUAAAGAGCUCGUAGGUGGUUUGUCGCGUUGUUCGUGAAAUCUCACGGCUUAACUGUGAGCGUGCGGGCGAUACGGGCAGACUAGAGUACUGCAGGGGAGACUGGAAUUCCUGGUGUAGCGGUGGAAUGCGCAGAUAUCAGGAGGAACACCGGUGGCGAAGGCGGGUCUCUGGGCAGUAACUGACGCUGAGGAGCGAAAGCGUGGGGAGCGAACAGGAUUAGAUACCCUGGUAGUCCACGCCGUAAACGGUGGGUACUAGGUGUGGGUUUCCUUCCUUGGGAUCCGUGCCGUAGCUAACGCAUUAAGUACCCCGCCUGGGGAGUACGGCCGCAAGGCUAAAACUCAAAGGAAUUGACGGGGGCCCGCACAAGCGGCGGAGCAUGUGGAUUAAUUCGAUGCAACGCGAAGAACCUUACCUGGGUUUGACAUGCACAGGACGCGUCUAGAGAUAGGCGUUCCCUUGUGGCCUGUGUGCAGGUGGUGCAUGGCUGUCGUCAGCUCGUGUCGUGAGAUGUUGGGUUAAGUCCCGCAACGAGCGCAACCCUUGUCUCAUGUUGCCAGCGGGUAAUGCCGGGGACUCGUGAGAGACUGCCGGGGUCAACUCGGAGGAAGGUGGGGAUGACGUCAAGUCAUCAUGCCCCUUAUGUCCAGGGCUUCACACAUGCUACAAUGGCCGGUACAAAGGGCUGCGAUGCCGCGAGGUUAAGCGAAUCCUUUUAAAGCCGGUCUCAGUUCGGAUCGGGGUCUGCAACUCGACCCCGUGAAGUCGGAGUCGCUAGUAAUCGCAGAUCAGCAACGCUGCGGUGAAUACGUUCCCGGGCCUUGUACACACCGCCCGUCACGUCAUGAAAGUCGGUAACACCCGAAGCCAGUGGCCUAACCCUCGGGAGGGAGCUGUCGAAGGUGGGAUCGGCGAUUGGGACGAAGUCGUAACAAGGUAGCCGUACCGGAAGGUGCGGCUGGAUCACCUCCUUU
rfam:Mycobacterium kansasii 824 gmk824.contig.1, whole genome shotgun sequence.